rnacentral:snRNA from 1 species
AUCUCUUUGCCUUUUGGCUUAGAUCAAGUGUAGUAUCUGUUCUUUUCAGUGUAACAACUGAAAUGUCCUCAAUGAGGAUGUUUAUUAAGUUACAAAUCAUAUUUUUGGAAAUGACUUAGGGAGGAGAGAGAUGUAAGGGUCCCUGGUAUCCAGGGGAAGGGGUCUUAUAUGUGGCUGGGCUGUAAGUUUUGUUACGGAGA